ACUUGAAUGAAAAUUUCCUGAACAUUGCAAAGGAACAAGAGUUCAAGGUCCUUAGCUUUGCAGAAACUCUGCCAACCUACAAUGGACCGAUGCUCAAAAUAUUGAUAGUUCCAUCGCAGUCAGCAGGUCUGGGUAUCGGGGACCUCAUCCAUGUGGAGGUUUAUCACCUUAACAUCUGCAAGCCAGAAAAAAAGACUAAUUUCUCUAUAAACGUACUUUACAGUUUAUUCGGGAUGCUCUUGGAGGACAGAGAAUUAAGUCAACUCCCACAGUCCAAAACUGGUCUCUUGCCAUUUCAUUUCCUCUUGAGGGUUCAACAAUUACAUUUUAAAAGCUACUGUUAACUAUGAAUAGAAGGAAGUUCUAAAAUUGCAACUGGAUUUUUCUUUGCAUUUUUUAAUUCAAUCAAGCCGUUAUGAAUAUGCUUUUUGUUAAAACCUCUGGGUUUAACUUUUAAUGUGUUUGCCAACUUCACCGUUGCCUUUUUCAUUUCAGUAAUUUGGAAUGAGCACUUUUCAGCAUUUAUUUUAACUGGAAGCUAUAACAAAUUAAAAUGAAUAUCAAGUAUACUAUGUUUAAAAUAUCAAUGCAUAUUUUAAAAAUCAUUUAUAGAAAGUCCAUUGUAUUUAUAAUAUUUAUUUUCUUGAAAGAAGCUGAAAACUAGCCGUUUUCUUAACUCACCAGCCUUCUUUGUAUCCCUACCUCAGACUCACAGUUUGGUACUGAUGCUGGCUGUAAUUUGCCACUAUUUUUGUACUAGUGGAUUAAUUGUAGUACUUGCAUAGGACCAUGUUACUUCUAUUUUGAUGUUGAGAUUGCGCAAGACACAAUUAUUGGCAAAUUUUUAUCACACUGAAUAAAGUUGUGUUACCUAACUUUAUAUUCCACUUAAAUCAUAUACUAUUACUAUAGCUAUACUGCAGCCUUGUGUUUUCAGAGCAUCAGUGCGCUCCAGGCCAGCAGAGCGCAGUAGAGCUCACAGAUCCAACAUCAGUCUGUUAGUAGAGGAAGACCACUGUUAGUUGACGGUGGACACUGUAGGUUCAAAACAAACUGACAAUCGACAGGUAAACACAAUAAAAAUCAUAUACAUAGGCUUUAACUGAAGAACCAAAAGCGUUAACACAUCCCGUCCAAAAUGGUUAAUGUCUUGAAAGGAGUUCUCGUUGAAUGUGACCCAGCUAUGAAGCAAUUUCUUCUAUAUCUGGACGAGACGUCAGCAUUGGGGAAGAAAUUUAUCAUCCAGGAUUUGGACGACACACAUGUUUUCAUCCUAGCUGAAGUUGUGCAGAUUCUCCAGGACCGAGUAGGAGAACUGAUGGACCAGAAUUCAUUCCCCGUCACCCAGAAAUAAAUGUCUGAAUCUGACAGCAGACCUUACAAUCUGUGGGAGCAGAUGGAUGUGGAGAUUCUUUCAGCACAAUUGCACAAACGCAGAUGCAACUAAAAUAUAUAGAUGACUGGCUACCAGGAUGAUGCCUGUUAUUCUUGUUUUAGUUUGACUGUGUUGCAUACAUUUUUAAUCUGACAGAAUGACAUGCUUUAUGUUACAUAUGUUUUAAAGACCGCUUCUAGAAUCUUUGCUGUGUUCUGACAGCUUGGUCAACGAAUUGUGUUUUGCAUGGAAAAUUGCAUUAGCUGCAGAAAGAAACAAUGUUGUUGUUUUUUUGUUUUUAAUUUGUACACAAACUGAAAGCAGAUGGUUGAUGACAGUGUGAUUUUAUAUACAUGCAAAAUAUACAAGCAUCAAAUAAAAAAAACCUUAAAAAACAUAAAUGUUCUCAAAAUUUGCUUAAUUUGUUUCCUGGAUACAUAAUAAUUAGCCUUAAAAAUUAGAAGACUCCAAGCUCCCUUUUCUGUUUAUUCUCUUUCUAGUGAAAAACCAGCUCAAGCCACGAGCACAAGGGUAUGAUGGGGGAUUUAGACAACUGAGAUGUGUCUGUAAUCAGGAUAUUGGUGAAAGAUUUUACCUUGAGGUGUGAGGAGAACAAACCGCAACAUCAAAAUAGUGAAC
ensembl:lncRNA